AAACAACAAUGAUAAGCACCAGGCAAGUGCGUACGUGGACGCAGUAUCAGACUUCAGUAUCAGCGUUGUAUGGCAAAAUGAAAUCGUAGGUGACGCUAGCAAAGCCCCGAUUGCUACACAUCAUCAUCAUCAUCGUUAUUGACUGCUGUUUUGUUCCUUCUUUUGUUCAGUUUUGUGUUGAUUUUGUAGCUCUUUGUUCAGUCGUUAUGGUGCCUGAGCGUUGUUUCUUUAUUCUAUGGCGUAAAAGUUAUGUGGGCCAUGAUCAUGCCGCAAGCACGUCGCUGCCUUGAUAUAGAGCGUGAAAUCGCGCGCAUGCCGGCUUGACGUUGAUGUGCGCUUAUGUUUGAAAUACAGCGACGCCGGUGCACGCUUCGGUGCCGCUUCUAGGCCGUUUGCGCACAGACGCAAGUUCCAAGCGAGUCGUCGUCCCUAUCUUCAUUUAAUCCGUUUAAUCAAACGGGCCACGUCGAUCCUUCCACAGCGUGAUCGAAGCACGAGGCCCAAAUGUUCAUAGCUUGCCCACCAAGCAAUAAGUCAGUGGAAUUGCACUGGUAAACAAUGCACGGUUGGAGGACGGAGCAAAUCAGAUGGAGAGCCACCUUGCUUCCGUGGUGACAUAGCAGGCAGGCUUUCUAGGUCCUCUGACUAAUCUGUGUACUCUAGCUGUGACUCACUGGUGGAGGCUUGGGCUACAUGUACGCACUUUGGCCCAGAAGUGACCACCGUCACUCCAGGUACCUUGAAGACAGCCCGCUGGGCCACAGCCAGAAAAAGACAGCGUUGGCAACGACUACUGCCAGAAUUCUAUUCCUCGUGUCACACAAACUGCAGAAAUGGUGUUGACCAGAUUACAAGCCAAGCCAAGCCAGGCUCGUGGCACCACCUACUCCAUCUGCUCCUGAACCCUUGCACCACACAUACAUAGGUCAUUCCAUGGUGAUGUUUUUGAGGUUAUUGAAGAUUGGCGGGACGUUUUGAUCGUGUUGCCAGCUUUAACAACUGGGAUGACAAAUGGAAUCUUGGGAAUGUACGCUCGAGUACGUCAUCCAUAAUCAAGGGCAUAAUCAGUUCUUAUUACUGAAUAGAGAAUGUUACAAACAUGAAAAAAAAAAAACAUUUUUUGUUUAAACACCCCGGUUAAACGCCAGAAGCAGGAACUCCGUGUACGUGGGCAAAUGUGAACAUAUCCUCAUGUUUUAUAUGGUAGAGACUGCUUUUGUUUGCAUAAACAAGAGAGAUGACAAUGCAACAUUGUGCGGAGGUUCCAUGUUUACACUGCUUCCUGGAUUUUCAUGUCAUCUUGCACUAUUAUAAACACGCUUAGUGGUUUCUUUUCAUUAAGUGUGACGAUACAGUCGUUUAUGUCAAAUCGGUGUCAAUUUUCUCAAAAGCUAGUUUAAACUACUUUUGUCCACUUCUGCAGGCAUCAGACUAAUAUUCAGAGGUAGUAUUUUAUGCAAUUGUUUCAAAAUUAACUUUGAAAAUUAUUGAAGCCAAUGCACAAUAUAGUUUGCGCAGCUUCUUAGGAGGAUAUAGUCUGGCGCACACCCUCACUUACAAUGCGGUCCACUGUUAAAGGGAACACUUUAAUGUGCAGCACUCACUACAUCUGCAGGCACACACUACAUCUGCAGGCUUGGAGUGACACCUGACAGGGGCAAAAGAUGCUGAGAGUGAGUGGGGCUAUACUAAUCCAGGUACAACCAAAUUGGGAAAGCCCACUAAGCUUCAACAAAGACACUCCCUCACCAGAACAGGAAUUGGCUUCCCUGGUGCAGUACUUGGCCACUACCUCCCAAAUGAUUCUUUCAAUAAACCCAUGGCCCUCAGUCCCCAGCAGCUGCGGAGCGCCUGACCAAGGCGGCGGUCAAAACUGUAACGCAGCAGUGGGUGCUAAGAAUCUCUGGGUCCGGACAGGCUGCCAAUGGAAACUGACCCUGUCAACCUUUAAUAUCCAAACUCUGUCAAGUGAGGCUAGCUUAGCAGGACUCUUUGAGGAACUAUCAGACAUUUUUUAGGAUAUCAUCAGCCUUAGUGAGAUUAGAACUGGUGAGGCUUAUACAUUGCUGAAUAACGGCCAUGUCCUCUGCUAUAGAGGUCUGCCAGGUAAGAAGCAAUACAGGGUAGGAUUCCUAAUCCAUAAAGGUAUAGCGGGCAACAUUGGCGAAUUCUACAGCAUUAAUGAGAGGGUAGCUGUAGUCGUAAUCAAACUUAGUAAGAGGUAUAGAUUAAGGGUAGUACAAGCCUACGUUCCAACAUCGAGUCACAAUGAUGAGGAAGAUCAGUUUUAUGAAGAUGUUGAAUUAGCGAUGAUAAAAGUGCAAACUCAGUAUACUGUAAUAAUGGGCGACUUCAAUGCAAAAGUGGGCGAAAAGCAUGCUGGUGAACAAGUGAUUGGCAACUACAGCGUCGAUUCUAGGAAUGCUAGAGAAGAGCUGCUAAUAGAAUUCGAAGAAAGGAAUAAGCUUCGAAUAAUGAACACCUUUUUCAGGAAGCGUGGCAACAGAAAGUUGACCUGGAAAAGCUCUAAUGGUGAAACAAGAAAUGAAAUUGACUUCAUACUGUCUGCUGAUCCCAGCAUAGUGCAGGAUGUAGAAGUGAUUGGUAGGGUAAAGUGCAGUGAUCAUAGGUUAGUGAGGGCUAGGAUUCACCUCAAUUUGAAGAGAGAAAGAGUAAAAUUAGUCAAGAAGAAACAGGUCAACCUAAAGGCAGUAAGGGUAAAAGCAGACAUAUUCAGUCUGGUACAUACUUUCAAACAAAUGUGCAACCUUAGAACAGAGAGAUGAAGAUGAGAUAGAGAUAAUGAAUGAAACCAUAACUAGGCUGGCUUCAGAGGCAGCAAUUGAAGUGGGAGGCAAGGCACCAAGGCAACCAGUAGGCAGGUUCUCCCAAGUAACAAAGGACCUAAUAAAGAAACGACAAAGAAUGAAAGUGUCCAACUCAAGAGAUAAGAUAGAAUUCACGGAACUGUCAAAAACUGAUCAACAAGGCGAAAAUAAGUGAUACUCGAAACUAUAACGUGAGAAAGACUGAAGAAGCCGUUAAAAAUGGACGCAGCCUGAAAUCAGUGAGAAAGAAACUUGGCAUAGGACAAACCAAGAUGUAUGCACUGAAAGAUAAGCAGGGUAAUAUCAUCAGCAAUCUAGAAGGUAUAAUAAAAGUAGCGGAAGAAUUCUAUACUGACAUUUGCAGUACCCAGAGGACUCAGGAGCACUCCAUUUGAAAAAAUAAUGAACAGUAUACAGAAACUCCUCCUAUAACUAGAGAUGAGGUCAGAAGGGCCUUGCAAGGCAUGAAACGGGGAAGAGUGGCAGAAGAGGAUGGAAUAACAGUCUAUUUAAUCAAAGGUGGAGGAGACAUAAUGCUAGGAAAACUGGCGGCUCUCUAUACGAAGGGUCUAUCGACUGCAAGGGUCCCAGAAAAGUGGAAGAAUGCAAACAUUAUACUAAUCCACAAAAAGGGUGACAUUAAAGAGCUGAAAAAUUAUAGGCCCAUUAGCUUACUCCCAGUAUUAUAUAAAAUAUUUACCAAAAUAAUCUCCAACAGAAUAAGGGCAACAUUGGACUUUAGUCAACCAAGGGAGCAGGCUGGCUUCAGGAAAGGUUACUCUACAAUGGAUCACAUCCAUGUCAUUAAUCAGGUUAUUGAGAAAUCCGCAGAGUACAAUAAGCCUCUCAAUGUGGCUUUCAUAGAUUACGAAAAAGCAUUUGAUUCAGUAGAGAUGCCAGCAGUCAUAGAGGCAUUACAUAAUCAAGGAUUACAGAACUCUUACUUAAAUACCUCGGAAAAUAUCCACAGAGGUUCUACAGCUACCUUAAUUCUACACAAGAAAAGCAGGAAGACACCUAUAAAGAAAGGGGUCACACAAGGAGACACAAUCUGUCCAAUGCUAUUCGCUGUGUACUUGGAAGAAGUAUUCAAGCUAUUAAACUGGGAAGGCUUAGGAGUAAUGAUCGACAGCAAAUAUCUUGGCAACCUUCGGUCUGCCGAUGACAUUGUUCUAUUCAGCAAUGCUGCAGACGAGUUACAACAAAUGAUUAAGGACCUUAACAGAGAGAGUGUAAGAGUGGGGUUGCAAAUUAAUAUGCAGAAGACAACGAUUAUGAUGAACAGCCGGGCAAGGGAACAAGAGUUCAGGAUCGCCAGUCAGCCUCUAGAGUCUGUGAAGUAGUAUGUUUACCUAGGCCAAUAAAUCACACGGAAGCCUGAUCAUGUGAAGGAAAUUCAUAGAAGAAUAAAAAUGGGCUGGAUCGCAUAUGGGAGACAUUGUCAGCUCCUGACUGGAAGCUUACCAUCAUCAUUGAAGAGGAAGGUGUACAAUCAGUGCAUUUUACCGGUGCUGACAUAUGGGGCAGAGACUUGGAGACUGACAAAGAAGCUUGAGAACAAGUCAAGGACCGCGCAAAGAGCGAUGGAAUGAAGAACGCUAGGCAUAGCGUUAAGAGACAGAAAGAGAGCGGUUUGGAACAGAGAGCAAACAGGUAUAGCCGAUAUUCUAAUUGGCAUUAAGAGAAAAAAUACAGUUGUGCAGGUCAUGUAAUGUGCAGGUUAGACAACCGUUGGACCAUUAGAGUUACAGUAUGAAUACCGAGAGAAGGGAAACGCAGUCGAGGAUGGCAGAAGACUAGGUGGAGCGAUGAAAUUAGGAAAUUCGCUGGUGCUAGUUGGAAUCGGUUGGUGCAGGACAGGAGUAAUUGGAGAUCGCAGGACGAGGCCUUCGUCCUGCAGUGGACAUAAAACAGGCUGAUUAUUAUUAUUAUUAUUAUUAUUAUUAUUAUUAUUAUUAUUAUUAUUAUUAUUAUUAUUAUUAUUAUUAUUAUGACUUUGCUAGCACUCCAGACACGAGUGCCGCCUGCAAUUAUAUGAAUGCACUGCAAGGUCAUGCAGAACUUUGCCAAUGCCACCACCACAGGUCAUUUUAAGCAAAGCCGGGUGAUUUUACACUUACUAUAAAGGAAAAAAGUUUCCAGGCACUGUGCACUUGUGUCCUCUUUAACAGUGGACUGCGCUGUACACGCCAAGAACACACCAUGUGUGGCCAAAUGAUCCUCUGAAGAACAUCUGCGGGAUACAUUUGGCUUAUUCCAAUGUUAUCCAUAUAUAACCGUGGCACGAUCGCUUGCAACUGUGGCACAGCUCGUGUGAAGAUUGACUGUUUUUGGAACUGGCCAUAUUGGAAAGCGUAUACUUUACCGUUCAUUGCAGCAGAGGGUGAUAAAGGCUCUGCAACACUUCUUAAGGGUAGACCUAUACUGACUUGAGAGCAGCUUUAAUAUAUGGACUGAUGUUAAAUUAAUUGUGUCAGUAGUUGUGGACACAUGUACACAUGUGUGCUGAAUGAAGUCUAUUCUCUGCUUCCAUCUUGUCAUUCUACCUUCUGCUUCCCAGUCCUCAAAAUUGUAGAGUACUAAACUGGAUUUCGUGUUUGUGAUUGACCUCCCCACUUUUCUUCCUUCAUUUGUCUUUUGCUCUCGUGCUGUGGAUGUGCAGAUAAUUUCUGGUGUAUAUCACGUCAGUCAUUUGAUGACAGCAACAAACACUUAUAGUGUAGCCACAGAGUACAGAGAUGCAAUAUGCCACUAAACCAUGUACAGAAAUUGUGAACGCUGAUGUUUGAGUGAGAGAUUUGCAAUAAACUGAAAUAUAUGGUUCACUGAUGGGGUAUUACAUCUCAAAACAGCAGACAUGGGCUAUGGGAGGUGCCAUAUAAUGGAAGGCUCCGAGUUAAUUUUGACACCGGAGGAUUCUUUAGAGAGAAAGAGGGAAAUAAGUUGAACUGUACUGGUAAAUUACCCUUCCACUAUACACCAGAAAAGUCACUGUUAUUGUGAGAAUUGCUAAAGUAGAAAAGAAGUCAAAGACAAAAGGACAGGUGGUGAAACUGCUGGUGUCCAGUGAACCUUUUAUCAGUUAAGAUUAACAUGUUGCAUGUAUUUUAAAAGAGCCACAGUUUGAGCUUGGCAAGACUCUAAGGCUUGCACCGUGCCAAAUAUGUCCAAAUAUGUCCCAAAUAUGAAAAAUAGUUUGAAAUCUGUAAUGUUGUGAUGACCUAGCAGCCUUCGAGUUUUGGCAUGAAAUUUUAAAAAUUUUGACUUUGACCUGUCUUGUCCCCUUCUAGUGAUAAGCUUUUUUACCACAGUUGGAACAGAUUUAUUUUUAACAAGUGCUGUGAAACAGGAAUGUAGAAAGCAAGGAUUAGGAAUGCAUGGUGAACAUUGGCAGGUCAUUGGACUAAAGACCAGCCAUUUCCACAUAAAAAAUUUGAUUGUUAUCAAUUUUUACCGUAACUGUCAAGUAAAGUAUUUGCAAGGUCUAGCAUUUUCAGCUCCACAGGCCUAGAAUGACACGAACAGGAAUCCGGAAGGAAGGUACAGAAACGUGUGGUGCAAGAGAUAGCCAUUUAAAGUCAUAUAUAAUUUGGGGUUUCAUUUGAAACUUGCUCGUGUGCACGUGCUCGUGUGUAGUCUGGUAGUUAUAGAUAACAAUCAAGCUGGUUGUGAUGUGUGAAAGAACUGUUCAACGAUUACCAAUUACAUUUCGUUUUAACAUUUGUGUAGAAUCUUGUUUUCUAAAAGGCCCCUGAAUAUUGUCAAAGCACAUAUUUCCAAAACAGCCACAGACUUUACCGUCAUGUUUAAGGAAUCAGCCAAUUGAGCUGUUGCGGUUUUCCUGUCUCAUUGGGAUUGAAGCAUGGCUCUUGUCCUUGCAGAUUCAGUCAUGCAUUCCAGUACGUCCACUAUAUAUGACCAGCUGGGCACCAUAACUUCUUUUGUUUCAUCUGGAAGUUCAGUAUUAAUUUAGUAUGCUUAUUAUAACUUUAUUGAGUGCUUGUCCUGUAGUACACAUUUGAUUUUUGAUGGUACUGUUAAUGAAUCAGUGAUAGUUAUUGCAUUGUAUUCGGCUGUUUUGUUCCUGGUUGAGUGCUACUUGUAUGCCGUCUUAAUUGUACAUUUGUCUUGGCCACCACAUAACCAUAGGCAAUGGGUAGAUCUGAACAGUUUCUGUAUAGUAUCUAUAUUGUGACAUUUGAAUGCAAAUAAAUUUGAAGUUCUUAAAGUUAGAACAUAACAACUACAUUUUAACAAUUAAAUGCACUCUCGCAGCCAUCCAGAGGCAUCAUCACCACAUUAUCAAAAAGAGAGAGAGAAGAAAGAUUUUUUACAAGAAGUAUGUGUGUUACAUAGGCAAAAUAAUGUUUGUGGCUUAUUGAAUCAACCUAGGUGAGGACAGGUGCAUUUUGUAUUCCCAACAUUUUAGAACUCUUACCGAAUAACUGACUUGUUUCAACUUGUCAUGCGUAAUCUUUUAUAUGUAAAAGGUUACUCCUUUUCGUAGGUCGGCAGUGUGGGAGAAUACUCACUCACACUCACUCACCAUAAUUUUUCCAGGCCCUGCACUCACUCAUGUUCACACUCACCUCCACUCACACUCACAAGCACCCACUCACAUCCACUCACAAUCACUGGCACUUACUCACCCUUGCACUCACAUCCACUCACAAUCACUGGCACUCAAUCACACUCGGCUCCACUCACACUCACCUCCGCUCACACUCACUGGCACUCACUCGAACUCGCACUCACCUCCACUUGCACUCACCUCCACUCGCACUCACCUCUGCUCACACUCACUGGCACUCGCCACCAGUCGCACUCACUGGCACUCACUCGCACUCAUCCCUUUUAAAUGAGUGAGAGUGAGCAGAGGUGAGUGUGAGUGGCUGCACUCAUGAGUGAGUGUGCUGCCCUCUGCCGCUCACAGUUCGUGUAUAUUCAGACCGAAGCUUCCAAUUUAGCACCUAUAACAUCUGGAGUACAAGAAGGCAGUGUUUUUGGCCCAGUUUUAUCUUUAAUAUACAUAAACGAUUUGUCUUCCCAAUUACAUGGUGACAUCUGUCUAUUCGCUGAUGAUUGUUUUUCGCGCCGCAAAAUUAAUUGCAAUGAUGAUCACCCUAUACAAAAUUCUACCUUUGCUUGUUGUCAGGAGUGGCAGACGACUCUAAAUGCCCAAAGAUAAGUAAUGCUAACAGUAAGUAGAAAGAAACAGAUAUCUUAUUUUACUUACAUUGUUAAUGACACACCUGUCACUUGUGUAUUUCAGGGUAAAAAUUUAGGAGUCACUUUAACACAUGCUCUCCGAUGGGAAACCCAUGUUAACAACAUAACCUCAAGUGUAAAUACUUGCUGCUGUAAAUAUGCUGAGCACCAAAGUGACUCAUCCUUCUGAGAAGACGCCUUCAUCUUGCACCAGCGGAUGCAAAUCUGCUGGCCUACAAAAUGCUUGUUCGACCAGUGCUGGAGUACGCCUGUAUUGUUUGAUUUAUGCACACAAAAGAACUCAUAAGAGGGGGUGCAGAGGAAGGCAAUAUGGUUCAUUUAUAAUAAAUACAAGUUAACGGAUUUAUCGACUGAAUUAUUAAAAAGAGCUGGUUUAUUAACAGUGCAAAGUAGGGCAAAACUAGCACGACUAAAGUUUUUGUUUCGAUUUAUUCAUGCUGACAAAACCAUGGACACAUCUGUACGAAGUUCUUUGAAUAGUUCUAGGUCAACACGCCACAAGCACUCUAGAACACCUCAUGAAUGCAGCUUUAACUAAAAUCCUUUAAAUAUUCAUAUUUCCUUAAAACAAUCAGGGAACGGAAUAAACUUAGUCCUUCCAUUACUAACGCAUAAUAUUUUUAAAUAACCUAACUUCGAGUGGCUGCCAACUUCAACAGCGUUUGCUCAGAGCUUGCCCCUCGUUGAUCCUCGAGGAGGGAAUGGCACUUAGACGAGAUUACGUAAAACAAGCUGGUCUAAUACAUCGCUACAGGCGAGCGAGCAGCAGAGCACCGUAGUGUAUGCCAGCAACUAGAAAAGUUAGAAGCAGAGCUCUUAUCUACAGAGCAGUGCGCUCUUUCUUUAUAUCCCGUACGGGGUUUUAUCUCCACAGCACUGGAGUCUGGAACAAACAAUUGCAAUGCGUCUUUAUGCUUUGAAGGACGCAUUGGCAUUAUUUGUGUACUCCGCGUGGCGUGCCGUCCAUUCGGUGUGUAUUUGAAUUAAAAAGAAGUUAUGGCACGGCAUAGCACGCAUGCAUAAACAAUGCGCCGCGGGCACAGCCAAAAGAAAAAAAAAAGAAAAACUGCGCAUGUGACAUGGAGAGAGGUGGGGGAAGUGGGUAGCGAGCCAAACAAGUCGCUAUAAUAAUGUUUAAAAAGCUACUUUGGAGAGGAGGCGCCGCACAGCUGCUGUUCCUGUUGCCAUGACGACGUAAACAACCAUGUGCACCGCCACUUUUCUAAAGCAUUGCCCGCCUGAAAGGGCCGUAAUUGAAGGGCGCCUUGGCGCUAGCGUCGAAAAAGUGGCUGCAUUAACUCGACAAAUGGGAGCCAUGCGGAGAUUCACAUGGCGGUCAUCAUUGGCUCUGAAUUGAUGCAAUGAUGCGAUUCCUAGCAAUACGGCGGAGGCACGUAACUACGGAAUGAGCGAAAAGAAUAGAGAAAGUAAAGAAACAUCGGGAGCGGUGAUGCAAUGUGGGGACGACAUUGCGCCGUACGAUAGCUCACAAUGAGGAGAGAGAAAGGAGCAAGGUGUGGAGGUGAUAUGACGUGGAGAAAUCCGGUCAGCCCGUCAGAAGCAUUGAAUCUUACAUCUGCGGUAUCUGCACUUGUCCAGCCCCUCCUCCUUUUAGGAAAUUUUGCAUUUAUACUCAAAUUUAUCUUUUUCUAGAUUGAAAUGAAUAUAUAACUAUACUGGCCCAGCCGUUCACGCAUUUAUUAUGUGAAAGUUCAACUGUUACAACAGCCAUAUUCAUAAUCCGGGAGUCCUCUCACAAAUAAUCAACAUGUAACUUGUCUCAUGCUAUCAUAUGCGAAUGGCCCGCCAGUGGGAUAAGCAUAAUAUAUUGCGUAACAUAGGAUUGUUCCGUAAGCUAGCAAGCAUUUAUUGUGCAUGACAAUGUUAUGUGUGUUUGCAUUAAAUUACCACCUUUGAUGCACUGCAAAUAUUUAUAUUACCUUUAAAUAUCGGUACUGAUAUUGCCUUCCAUGGCAGUAAAACGUGAAAAGUUUAGGUCCACAUAAGUUGUUUUUUUUUUGAUUAUGUAAAUACAACUAUGUAUUAAUUGAUCAGCAAGUAUAGUUGCUACGUACUAACCGGCAAGCAUACAGAAUAAAUUGCUAAAUUUAACCUUAAGAAGGAAACAGCAGAGCACGGGAGGCGGUCUUGUAAAGCAAAUCCAACGCAUGAAAUAAAAGAAAGUAAAUGAAAGGCGCAAAGCAUUAGCAUGAGCAAGCCGUUUAUAUCUGCUUCGUUCUCCUGGUUAUGCGCGUCAUCUCAUGCUUAUUAUAUUUUGUAGCACAUUUACGUUUGUCAUGCCACACUUAACUAAACACCUCCGCUCACAAUGAAGUGUGCACUGAAUGUGUCCCACAAACAGUUCCAUAAGUGCAGACCAUUGCGGUGACAAACCUGCAAGCAUAGAAGGAAAUAUACAAAAUCUCUGCAUUUACAGCGCGUAAACACGUUCUCUGUGUGGCGAGUCACUGCAGUAUUAUCUUGCAAUUACGUAGUGUAUUAUAGAAGCUUAAUUAUCGCAAUGUUGGCUAAUAGCAACCAAAUAUCAAGUGCACAGCAGACACCCGUCGCUUUGGCACAGCUUCCACAGCAGAGAAAGCCCACGGGUGCGGCAAAGCAGCGCGGCGGCGGGGCAGUUCUCCGGACAAGCUUUACCUGCCCAGUAUUCUAGGUCAUCCUAGCACGGUUUGGUCCAAUCAGGAAUGCAGGUGCAAGAUCGGACCAUAAACGGGCAUAACCGUCUCAUGUGUGCAUCUGCAAGCACCCAACGCCAACUCAUCGCCAGACGGGGAGAAGGGGUGAGCAUCCGGAAGGAAGAGUAGGCGCCGCUGGUACACACACGCACGCACACAGACGGCUUGCAUGACUUCCAACGGUCAUGUCUCGGCGACAUGGACAUUGGAAGCCGAGCCUAAAGCCGAGGAGCCUUACGCUCCUUGGCCCUUCGGCGCCGUCUGCAAAGGUCUUCCCAAGCCUGAUUUUGAAUGUCUCUGCGCAUUGCACUCGCGCUAACGAUUGCCACACAAGUGAAGCGUAAAAUAAGCUAUGGUGGAAAUUAAUGUACAUGCUGAACAGUUUCUGUGAACAACUCUUUUUAAAAACUUGUAUCAGGACUGUGGUUGAUUAAUCCGAUCUCAUCAUUGCGCAUCCUGUCAUUGUAUUUUUCGUGAUUUGUAUUUUUUAGUCAUACCAAGCGUACUGCUACUGAUAAUUUCAUAUAUUAAUUCUGCUAGUAUUUUAGUGUUUUAAUUCCAUUGUAUAAAUUACUUUAUUGUGCUUCUUUUGUAUCUAUAUGUAUGCUCUCUCUGCGAUGAUCUCUUGUGAGAUCGGCAGUAUUCCUAAAUAUAUAAAUAAACGCUACACGACUUCUG